AGAGUUUGAUCCUGGCUCAGAACGAACGCUGGCGGUAUGCUUAACACAUGCAAGUCGAACGAGAAAGCACCUUCGGGUGUGAGUAGAGUGGCGCACGGGUGAGUAACACGUAGGUGACCUACCUUACAGUGGGGGAUAACUCCGAGAAAUUGGAGCUAAUACCGCAUACGAUAAACGAAAUUGAAAAAGUUUAUGAAAGAGUGCCUCUCCUUGGAAGCAUUCACUGGAAGAUGGGCCUGCGGAGCAUUAGCUUGUUGGUGGGGUAAUGGCCUACCAAGGCGACGAUGCUUAGCUGAUCUGAGAGGAUGAUCAGCCACACUGGAACUGAGACACGGUCCAGACUCCUACGGGAGGCAGCAGUGGGGAAUAUUGCGCAAUGGGGGAAACCCUGACGCAGCAAUGCCGCGUGAGUGAGGAAGGCCUUCGGGUUGUAAAGCUCUGUCAGAUAGGAAGAACGGCAUAGGGUCUAAUAGGCCUUGUGAGUGACGGUACUAUCAAAGGAAGCACCGGCUAACUUCGUGCCAGCAGCCGCGGUAAUACGAAGGGUGCAAGCGUUGUUCGGAUUUACUGGGCGUAAAGCGCGCGCAGGCGGAUAAAUAAGUCAGAUGUGAAAUCUCGGGGCUCAACCCCGAAACUGCGUCUGGAACUGUUUGUCUAGAAUCUUAGAGAGGGAAGGGGAAUUUCGCAUGUAGGGGUAAAAUCCGUAGUGAUGCGAAGGAACACCAGGGGCGAAGGCGCCUUCCUGGAUAAGUAUUGACGCUGAGGCGCGAAAGCGUGGGGAGCAAACAGGAUUAGAUACCCUGGCCACGCCGUAAACGAUGAGCACUAGAUAUGGGGGGAUUGACCCCUUCCGUGUCGUAGCUAACGCAUUAAGUGCUCCGCCUGGGGAGUACGGUCGCAAGACUAAAACUCAAAGGAAUUGACGGGGGCCCGCACAAGCGGUGGAUUAUGUGGUUUAAUUCGAAAGCAAGGCGCAGAACCUUACCUGGGCUUGAAAUCCCGAGAAGAUCGACCCAAAAUUGAUUGUGCUCUUCGGAGAACUCGGUGACAGGCGCGGAAUGGGUGGCAGCCCGGUUGUAGAAGUGGGGGGUAAUUUCCCCAACCACCGCCCCCCCCUUUUUUUUUUCCCCCCCCAAAAAAGGGGGCCCCCAAAAAAAGAGACUGCCCGGGUUAACCGGGAGGAAGGUGGGGAUGACGUCAAGUCCUCAUGGCCCUUAUGCCUAGGGCUACACACGUAAUACAAUGGUGCACACAAAGGGAAGCGAUCACGCGAGUGUUAGCAAAUCUCAAAAAGUGCAUCUCAGUCCGGAUUGGAGUCUGCAACUCGACUCCAUGAAGUUGGAAUCGCUAGUAAUCGCAGAUCAGCACGCUGCGGUGAAUACGUUCCCGGGCCUUGUACACACCGCCCGUCACACCAUGAGAGUUGACCUUACCUGAAGCCGUGGCCCUAACUUUUAGAGGGGAGCGUCUACGGUCGGGUCGAUGACUGGGGUGAAGUCGUAACAAGGUA
rnacentral:rRNA from 1 species